rnacentral:rRNA from 1 species
AGUGAACGCUGGCGGUAGGCCUAACACAUGCAAGUCGAACGGCAGCACAGUAAGAGCUUGCUCUUACGGGUGGCGAGUGGCGGACGGGUGAGGAAUACAUCGGAAUCUACUUUUUCGUGGGGGAUAACGUAGGGAAACUUACGCUAAUACCGCAUACGACCUACGGGUGAAAGCAGGGGAUCUUCGGACCUUGCGCGAUUGAAUGAGCCGAUUCCGGAUUAGCUAGUUGGCGGGGGAAAGGCCCACCAAGGCGACGAUCCGUAGCUGGUCUGAGAGGAUGAUCAGCCACACUGGAACUGAGACCGGGUCCAGACUCCUACGGGAGGCAGCAGUGGGGAAUAUUGGACAAUGGGCGCAAGCCUGAUCCAGCCAUACCGCGUGGGUGAAGAAGGCCUUCGGGUUGUAAAGCCCUUUUGUUGGGAAAGAAAAGCGGCAGGUUAAUACCCCGCUGUUCUGACGGUACCCAAAGAAUAAGCACCGGCUAACUUCGUG